rnacentral:tRNA from 1 species
GAAAGGUUAGCUCAGUGGUAGAGUGUGUGUCUAGCAUGCAUGAGGUCCUGAGUUCAAUUCCCAGUACCUCCA